ensembl:lncRNA
CUUUUGGAAGGAGGAAGAUGGAAUUACAGAAGGGAGACAAAAAGUAUGGUUGGAAAGCAGAGGUGGAGAGAGAGAGAGAGAGAGAGAGAGAGAGAGAGAGCGAGCAUGGUAGGGGGUGACGGGAUGGAAAAAAAUACAGCAUGGAAUUGUUGCACUUUCUGACCAGCGCAUAGAUUGAAGGAAGUCUCAGAACCAUUACUACACUCACUGACUCCUAUACUCCCCCCUAUACUAGCACAAGCGGAGAAAUGGCCAGUGGUUGAAUUUGUCUUGAUGUCUUGAUGCAGCAUUUCUGUUUUAAACCACUUAAUCCCAACACUCUGCAUGUAAUUUGACUGAACCUGUUGUUAAUGUUAAAGUCAGCAGUGUCCAAAUGUUGCGUAACUUCCCAAUGAUGACCAUCAAAGCCAAUGCUGCUAUGUCCAUCUUCACCAGUUUACCCGGUUUAAUUGACACCCCUGAUUAUCCUAUUUUACUAAGCUACUCGUGGCUUAACUACCCUUUAUUAGCACUGCCAACCCAUUGAAUACAUAAGUGUAAAUGUAUAGCAGGAGAAGAGGCAGAAGAACGUUGUUUGAAUAAAGUGAACAACUGGAGGUAAGUUAUUACUGACUUCAGGCUUUUAAUAAUAAUUCAUUCAUUUAAUUAAUAACUCAGUAGUUGCUUCUAUCUGAACAAUGUCUUUUUCCGUAGGAUAAAGGGGAACUGCCAUUAGUGUUCUGGUGUGUUCAAAUAAGGUUAUGUGUUACUGGUGAAGACAUAAAUCAACAUAAUACACAGAAUAAACCUUCACAAACAUUGUGAAUAGCCUAAAAUAAAAUCAUUAACAGCCCUGUAAAUCCUAUAAAACAGAGAUAGCAGGCUAAAAGCACAUUUACAUGACAGCCUAGUGUGGACAGUACACAUGUAAAGUUCCACGUUAAGAGAGUCAGGAUUACUUUGUGAAGGCCUCACGGCCCAGAAACGGGAGGUCUCAACGUCUGCUUCUUGUCUGUGGUUGGCCGAUUUGCAUCAUUCAACCACUUUUUUUGGUUCGUCCGAUCCCAUUGGAUUUGACUAAACCUACAUGGAAAUGACGGACAGCUUCCUUAGCCACUCACAAGCCAAAACGGUUAGAGCGGAAAGAGAGAUUUAUGAUUCAUACGCUUCGAUGGCUUGGUGGUUUUUGUACUCUCAAUUCGCCACGGUUUGUCUGAGAGAAAGGUUAAAGGUAUCACUAGAUUUGGCCCAAUCUCGGCAAGCGACUUUGCCGUGGAUUUUUCCGUGUUAGCUCCAAAGGAUUGUUCAUCUUUUGCACUGCCGAGUGCACAAUCCCUGAAAUAUUUUGCAUCAGAUAUUUUAAAACUAUUACAGCAAUACUCUUUAAAGUUGAGCAUUUUCAAACGGAUCAAUGGGGAUUGCAGCCAAGACUAACGCUUCGACAGGUGUGAAGCAUUCAUACAUACAUUUCGGGAUGAGUACACGAUAUUCCUGUCGAAGUAGAUCGGUUAGUUAGGGCAGCCCUCAGGUGGAACACAUUUUAAACAAACACUCAUUGGUUGAGCAUCUAGCAAACAGAGCAAAGUUUCCCCAUGGUUUCGGGGGCGGAUCGGGUGGGGUACUAGUAGGGCGAAUGGACAUUAUAUCUGCUGUGAAUAAAUACUUCCGCCUUAAAGAGUUUAACAUUGUUGUUUAUUUGCCCCUUUUCCCAAAGUUAGAUGACAAGAUGUGUAAACAGGACACGCUGUGUUUUUAAGUCUUGGGGUGGACACACUGCAUUCAAACAUGUGCACAUCUCCGCUCACACCAGUGGUGCAUGAUAAUGGACCUGAUGGGGCGGAAGCACUGUGAUGACCUCAGCCUGUAAAAUGAUGAAAUCUGCAACUAUUGAUCCCACAUAGAGGUAGAAAAAAAACGUACCUAGUUUGUACAUGAAAACAGUAUUUAAACUGUAAACCAUUUGAAACUAAAGCCCUGUUUACAAUUUCAUGAGAUGCAGCAAAAAAGGUUGGAAAACUACAAAGAGCAGAGUCAAAUAUCUGCAGCAUCUAAAGUAAUAUAAUCGAAGGGUGGUAGAGUUAGUGAACACAUUAGGACUCUGCAGCUGUUUUAAAAGCUUUCAAAAAGUAAUUGAGGACAAAGACUGACAUAUUAAGAGUAAAGAGUUUAUUCGUUAAUGAACAUGUCCUGUUGAGUGGGGUCUAACAAACACCGCACCGUGGAUGCCUAGUGGACAAAAAGUUGGAAGCAGCGGCUCUAAUGGAGCAUAUACACAAGCCAAUAGUUUGUUUGACAAACAAAUUACCAAGCAAAAAACAGAUCAACAGAAAAGCUCAGAUGAAAAUGUAAUAAGCCUUCAAUUCUGCUUUUUAAAUGAUUCAUACUAAUGUCAGGUUUAACGACAUUCCACCACAUACACAAAGAUGUUUUUUUUCAUCAUCUAGCUAUUGAUGACACUUGUUUAAUGACGGCGGUUGUACUCCGUAUGAUACCGCACAUUAUUGUAUUCAACAUUCCCUCACCCCAAAACUAACUCUAAGGCCAAGGCUGCUUGAAUGAGACCAAGGAGAACAAGGUAAGCUGAUGACGGAGAGCAGGGGGUGGAGGAGGCACCCACCCAGGGACGGAGGAGGAAGGCAGGAGGCCAGUCAAUAUGGUGGCACAUUACAUAAUUCUCUCACUGUAUUGAUUUAUCACCUAGCAGAUUUGGCCCCAGGCCAGUAUGCAAUAGCAUUUGUAAUAUUUGAGCUGGAGCCCCGACAGAGAGAGAGAGAGAGAGAGACAUGGGCAGGUGGAUGGCUCAGAGACGACAGAGCAAAAGAGGUGGGGGGAGCAGGGAGAAUUUUGGGAUGGAGCCAAAGUAAUACAGAUAAAGAGGAGAGUGGACUGAAAAGAGAUGGGCGGAAACAAAGGUGUUUAAUUGAGCGAGAUGGAAAUAGUUGAGAUUUGCGAGAGAGAAAACAAGUGCGAGCGGGGAUGAAGAGACGGUGACGGAAGAGGAAAGGCGGAACACAAAGAAGGUAUGUCAGUGGGUUCACCGCAGGUCACCCUCCGUGCUGGAAUCAGUACCGUUACAUAAGAGCCAGCAGCACUGGGCAGAACAGCCUGACACACCGGACCUGCCUGCACACAGACACAAAGCGUCUCUUAAAACACCAGAGCAGAAAGUGCCUGUGGCCGUGCAUGCUGGAUAUAAACUUCAGCAGCACUCACAGGUUGCGCUGGAAAUACAUUCACACCAGCGGGCUCCAUCGCUCUGUCAUCGGCGACCUGACUAAUGGCUGCAAAUUUCGAGCAGCCAUUGGUCAGGUGGUUAAGCUGUAUUUUUUUUUCAAUCUUUACCCAAAUAUUCCAAACAUAUAAAUGAGUGCAACAGCAGGAAGGCCUUCAAAGAAAGUUAAAGUGUGUGCCAUUUUCCACAGAUCUUCUUUCCUCAUUAGCUGACUGAGGUAUGGACGCGGUCGAUUACACCGUUCACUGGUGUAAUCCUUCUCCCCCUUCAUGCAGGAGCACCAGGCCCCCCCAUACUUCUUCUUCCCCCCCUACUUGUUGUGACAUCACUCUCUCAAUCUCAGGAUGAACUACAGACAGAUGAGGGGAAGGAAGCGGCGAUAAAGGCAGGAAACUAGAUUAAUGGUCUGAAUGGAGCACAGAGAGGGAGAGGGAAGCGGGAGAAGAUGGAGGAGAGAAUAAGCAGAGCAAGCGAGAGAGAGCGAGGCUGACUGGAACAGGCUUUCCUUGUGCUGCUGUGAAUUAUUUACUUCAUUCCGCAUGCUAUCGCUCUCUUUUAAAAAGAUAUAUGCAAGAUAUAUUCAUGGAAGGGGAGGGAGCUGAUUAAUUUGCAAUUAAUGUUUAACGAGGUACAGCUGUGUUCAAUUAACACUGGUUUAGCGCCCCCCCCCUCCUCCCGCUGUUGAUUCCACUUCUCAAGUGUUACUCGAGAGAGUAAAGCGAUUAAUACACUAGAAUUAAGACGAUGAUGGAAGCUUAUUUGAUCAAUUCCUUCAGAAAGUUUGCCGCACGAUGCCGCACACAAUAGAGGCAACAUGUCGGCCGAAACAGAGGACAUUCCUUAUGACGCUUUACAAAUGCAGACAUUUCAUUAGUGCCAAGCACGAGCCGGAGUGAAGGUUGUGAUGUGCGAUGGAUUCGGCAGAGAUUGCUUGUGAACCCAGAGACAUUUAGAUUCAACAUCAUGCAUUCACCCCCCCCCCAAGCAAAGAUCCACAGGACCCGAAAGUUUGAUGCCUCUUUUCUCUCCCCCGCUCAUCCUGCUUUUUCUUAAUUCUACUGUAUCUCUUUUUUUUCUAGCGG